UCAGACUGCUGUGUCUCUCUCAGCUGCUCUCUGACUGCUGUGUCUCUCUCGGCUGCUCUCAGACUACUGUGUCUCUCUCGGCUGCUUUCAGACUGCUGUAUCUCUCUCGGCUGCUCUCAGACUGCUGUGUCUCUCUCGGCUGCUCUCAGACUGCUGUGUCUCUCUCGGCUGCUCUCAGACUACUGUGUCUCUCUCAGCUGCUCUCAGAAUGCCGUCUUGGCCAACCUUAGCUCGUUCUAAAAACCUAUCCAAAAAACACAUAGUUGGUUUGGAAUCUGACCCAAGUUCCAAUCCUUGUGGGUUAUUGUUGACUCUGUUCAAUAUUAUUUUCCCUGCUCUACAUCUGUUUCUGCCUGGACCUAGUCCCAAUGAUAAGGCCAGAUGGAGGACUACCUUCAGCAGGGUUUCUUUAUGUCUGGGUACUCAGCAUGCUGCGUCACAGAGCAAAGCUAACCAGUAUUCAUAAAGACAUACGCUUCUCCUCCUGAUUCCAGCUGAUUCAGCUUAGUCUUCUGAAGUUGUAUCUUAUUCGUUGUUUACAAUCUCUCUGCUGUGUUUAACUGGAGGGGAAUCAAACAGACACAAACAAGCUUUGAAGAGCAAAGGGCACACUGUCGCUUUUUAGCCGUUCAAGAAGAAUUGGUUGAAAAAGCCAUGUACGAAUAAAAGUAGGAUAGAGGAACAGAGGAUUUGUGUGUGUUGUCGCUGAGGUUGGAACCACCAGUGUGUGUGUGUUGUCGCUGAGGUUGGAACCACCAGUGUGUGUGUGUUGUCGCUGAGGUUGGAACCACCAGUGUGUGUGUGUUGUCGCUGAGGUUGGAACCACCAGUGUGUGUGUGUUGUCGCUGAGGUUGGAGCCACCAGUGUGUGUGUGUUGUCGCUGAGGUUGGAACCACCAGUGUGUGUGUGUUGUCGCUGAGGUUGGAACCACCAGUGUGUGUGUGUUGUCGCUGAGGUUGGAGCCACCAGUGUGUGUGUGUUGUCGCUGAGGUUGGAGCCACCAGUGUGUGUGUGUUGUCGCUGAGGUUGGAACCACCAGUGUGUGUGUGUUGUCGCUGAGGUUGGAGCCACCAGUGUGUGUGUGUUGUUGCUGAGGUUGGAGCCACCAGUGUGUGUGUGUUGUCGCUGAGGUUGGAACCACCAGUGUGUGUGUGUUGUCGCUGAGGUUGGAACCACCAGUGUGUGUGUGUUGUCGCUGAGGUUGGAGCCACCAGUGUGUGUGUGUUGUCGCUGAGGUUGGAACCACCAGUGUGUGUGUGUUGUCGCUGAGGUUGGAGCCACCAGUGUGUGUGUGUUGUCGCUGAGGUUGGAGCCACCAGUGUGUGUGUGUUGUCGCUGAGGUUGGAGCCACCAGUGUGUGUGUGUUGUCGCUGAGGUUGGAGCCACCAGUGUGUGUGUGUUGUCGCUGAGGUUGGAGCCACCAGUGUGUGUGUGUUGUCGCUGAGGUUGGAGCCACCAGUGUGUGUGUGUUGUCGCUGAGGUUGGAGCCACCAGUGUGUGUGUGUUGUCGCUGAGGUUGGAGCCACCAGUGUGUGUGUGUUGUCGCUGAGGUUGGAGCCACCAGUGUGUGUGUUGUUGCUGAGGUUGGAGCCACCAGUGUGUGUGUGUUGUCGCUGAGGUUGGAGCCACCAGUGUGUGUGUGUUGUCGCUGAGGUUGGAGCCACCAGUGUGUGUGUGUUGUCGCUGAGGUUGGAGCCACCAGUGUGUGUGUGUUGUCGCUGAGGUUGGAACCACCAGUGUGUGUGUGUUGUUGCUGAGGUUGGAACCACCAGUGUGUGUGUGUUGUCGCUGAGGUUGGAACCACCAGUGUGUGUGUGUUGUCGCUGAGGUUGGAACCACCAGUGUGUGUGUGUUGUCGCUGAGGUUGGAACCACCAGUGUGUGUGUGUUGUCGCUGAGGUUGGAACCACCAGUGUGUGUGUGUUGUCGCUGAGGUUGGAGCCACCAGUGUGUGUGUGUUGUCGCUGAGGUUGGAGCCACCAGUGUGUGUGUGUUGUUGCUGAGGUUGGAGCCACCAGUGUGUUUUCAGGGAGUGUGGUUGAAGGAGCUACAAAUCUUAGAAUGCAGCAGGUUGCUGUUAAGUGAGAUUGGUUGGUCGGUCUCUGUCUGUCUGUCUGUCUGUCUGUCUGUCUGUCUGUCUGUCUGACUGUCUGCUGUGGCAUCACCACACUCCUACUCUCUGAGAUAAAGCUUUUUAAAGAACACUCUGCCUUUGACCUAAAUGAGUCUGUCUCUGCUCUCUGCCUCCAGGGAUGUGACUUAUGAAGUUCUAGAGAUGCUACUUUAUGGGCCUUGGAUGAAAACCAAAGUCUUGUCAGUGGUGCAACAGGGUGUUCUGAUAGCUCUGAUAGCACGACUGAGCACCGAAGGAUAUAACAGGGAGAAAGAAACUACAAAAGAACCAGUCAUGAAGAGGACUGUGUCAACUGAUUCUCUUUCCUCUCAUUUCUCUCCCUGUUCUCCUCAAAACAACCAUUGACACACCAAAGCAUUAUAGAACACGUUUUAAAAGGAAUGUAUGUUCGAACACAAAACACACAAAUCAUGCAGACACAGAACAGUGCAGAUAUGUUGACAUG